GUUUGCAGCCGAAGGCGGGCGGGGCCGAGAAGGUGGUGAAGCCCUGGGAUGACCGGCAAGACAGGAACCUGGCCACGUGGUCUCGGUGAAGCUCGCUCCUCGCCAGCCAGGCUAGGAUUGUACGGAGAGGCCGCGGUGAGGGUGGUCUGUGGAGGAGGUGCUAUCACCCCCUAAAAAGGUUAAAUCAAGUACCUUUACGCUUCUGGAGUGCAGAUGUUUUGUAACUUGAUUCAGAACCUGCCUAAGAUACGAGAUUCCUGAGAGCGGAGCAGAGUUUGAAUUCAGAGUACCGGCUUUGCCAGGCCAACAGUUACAACUGUCCUUCUGUUGUUUGACCUCCGUGCCCUCUUGAAAAGGAAGAGAAAUAAAAUUAGAGAAUUGGUGACCCGGAGAGCAA